GUCGCACGAGAAAGCCCCUUUCGGGGGGCGAGUAAAGUGGCGCACGGGUGAGUAACGCGUGGAUAAUCUACCUCGUUCUGGGGGAUAACCCACCGAAAGGUGGGCUAAUACCGCAUAAUCCGGCUGAUUCUUGGAUUGGUCGGCAAAGGUGGCCUCUUGAUCAAAGCUACCGGGAAGAGAUGAGUCCGCGUCCCAUUAGCUAGUUGGUAGGGUAACGGCCUACCAAGGCGACGAUGGGUAGCUGGUCUGAGAGGACGAUCAGCCACACUGGAACUGGUACACGGUCCAGACUCCUACGGGAGGCAGCAGUGGGGAAUAUUGGGCAAUGGGCGAAAGCCUGACCCAGCGACGCCGCGUGGGCGAUGAAGGCCUUCGGGUUGUAAAGCCCUGUCAUGCGGAAAGAACGACCCUGAGACGCAUACUCUCAGGGAGUGACGGUACCGCAGGAGGAAGCACCGGCUAACUCCGUGCCAGCAGCCGCGGUAAUACGGAGGGUGCAAACGUUGUUCGGAAUUAUUGGGCGUAAAGGGCGCGUAGGCGGUAAUGUAAGUCAGAUGUGAAAUACUCCGGCUCAACUGGAGAACUGCAUCUGAAACUACAUAACUAGAGUACAGAAGAGGGAAACGGAAUUCCCGGUGUAGAGGUGAAAUUCGUAGAUAUCGGGAGGAACACCAGUGGCGAAGGCGGUUUCCUGGUCUGAUACUGACGCUGAGGCGCGAAAGUGUGGGGAGCAAACAGGAUUAGAUACCCUGGUAGUCCACACUGUAAACGGUGAACACUAGGUGUGGGAGGUGUAAUACCUUCCGUGCCGUAGCUAACGCGUUAAGUGUUCCGCCUGGGAAGUACGGCCGCAAGGUUGAAACUCAAAUGAAUUGACGGG
rnacentral:rRNA from 1 species